UGACAGCUUGGUCUUCUGUUAGUAAGGCUCAGAAGUAUACCUUACAAACAUUGGUAUUCUUUAUCAUCAGGAGCAAGAUCUAUAAAAAUUGUCCCUUGGCUGACACAGUGAAAAGUCAGAUAAGGAUUGGUGCCUGAAAAGGAAAAUAUAUUAAACUUUUAUGCACAUAGGUUCACCAAGAAGUACCAACUAUAAAACUAGGACUGAAGGAGUACUGUCCGCUGCCAUCAUUUUAAAAAUCACUGGAUUUUAAAAAGUAAAUUAAAGUUGUUUUCUAAGGUUUGCAAUCUCUUUGCCCAGAGAGAUUAGACAACAGCUAAGAUUCUGGAGGACUCAUAAAAUGUACUCUCUCAUUAUAAUUGAUUAUAAGUGUCAAAAG